rnacentral:ncRNA from 2 species
AUCCGUGAACAGGGGAGCAAAUGCUGAGAUCCAACGAUGGAACAAACCCUUAUCACCUGAUCUAGGUAAAACUAGCGUAGGGAGUUUACUGAUUUUCCUU